rnacentral:rRNA from 1 species
UACGGAGGGGGCAAGCGUUGUUCGGAAUCAUUGGGCGUAAAGGGCGCGUAGGCGGCCGACCAAGUCGGGUGUGAAAUCCCUCGGCUCAACCGAGGAACUGCACUCGAUACUGGUUGGCUAGAGUCCGGGAGGGGAUGGUGGAAUUCCCAGUGUAGCGGUGAAAUGCGUAGAUAUUGGGAAGAACACCGGUGGCGAAGGCGGCCAUCUGGACCGGAACUGACGCUGAGGCGCGAAAGCCAGGGGAGCGAAUGGG